UACGUAGGGUGCGAGCGUUAAUCGGAAUUACUGGGCGUAAAGCGUGCGCAGGCGGUUUUGUAAGUCUGACGUGAAAUCCCCGGGCUCAACCUGGGAAUUGCGUUGGAGACUGCAAGGCUGGAGUCUGGCAGAGGGGGGUAGAAUUCCACGUGUAGCAGUGAAAUGCGUAGAGAUGUGGAGGAACACCGAUGGCGAAGGCAGCCCCCUGGGUCAACACUGACGCUCAUGCACGAAAGCGUGGGGAGCAAACAGG
rnacentral:rRNA from 1 species